GAGUAAUGCCUAGGAAAUUGCCCUGAUGUGGGGGAUAACCAUUGGAAACGAUGGCUAAUACCGCAUGAUGCCUACGGGCCAAAGAGGGGGACCUUCGGGCCUCUCGCGUCAGGAUAUGCCUAGGUGGGAUUAGCUAGUUGGUGAGGUAAGGGCUCACCAAGGCGACGAUCCCUAGCUGGUCUGAGAGGAUGAUCAGCCACACUGGAACUGAGACACGGUCCAGACUCCUACGGGAGGCAGCAGUGGGGAAUAUUGCACAAUGGGCGCAAGCCUGAUGCAGCCAUGCCGCGUGUGUGAAGAAGGCCUUCGGGUUGUAAAGCACUUUCAGUCGUGAGGAAGGUAGUGUAGUUAAUAGCUGCAUUAUUUGACGUUAGCGACAGAAGAAGCACCGGCUAACUCCGUGCCAGCAGCCGCGGUAAUACG
rnacentral:rRNA from 1 species